AGCAGCCGCGGUAAUUCCAGCUCCAAUAGCGUAUAUUAAAGCUGUUGCAGUUAAAAAGCUCGUAGUUGAAUUUCGGGAUCGACGGGUCGGUCGCGCCUCUGGUGUGUACUGGCCCUGUCGGUUUCUCCCUUCUGACGGACCACGAUGUCAUUAAUUUGGUGUCGUGGGAAAUCAGGACUGUUACUUUGAAAAAAUUAGAGUGUUUAAAGCAGGCAUUCGCUUGAAUACAUUAGCAUGGAAUAAUGAAAUAGGACGUUUGAUCUUAUUUUGUUGGUUCUCUAAGAUCGACGUAAUGAUUAAUAGGGAUAGGUUGGGGGCAUUAGU
rnacentral:rRNA from 1 species